CAUUUGUUAUAAUUGAUGAACCUACAUUGACACAUUGUAAUCACCCAAAGUUUGUGGUUUACAGUAUGGUUCACUCUUAGUGUUGUACAGCCUAAGAGUUUGGACAAAUGUACAAUGACAUGUAUACAUCAUUAUGAUAUCAUGUAGAGUAUUUUCACUGCCCUAAAAAUUUUAUAUUCUAUUAUUUGUCCUUCUCCAUAACAGCUGGCAACCACUGAUCAUUUUACUAUAACCAUAGUUUUACCUUGUCCAAAAUGUCAUAUAGUUGGAAUUAUGUAGCAUGUAGCCUUAUGCAGACUGGCUCCUUUCACGUAGUCAUAGUGCAUUUAAUGUCCUCCAUGUCUUUUCAUGGCUCGAUAGUUCAUUUCCUUUUUAUCCUUGAGGAACAUUUCAUUGUCUGGAUGUACUACAGUUUAUUUAUCUACUCACCUACUAAAGGACAUCUUUGUUACCUCCAAGUUUUGGAAAUUACGAAUAAAGUUACUAUAAACAUCCAUGUGCAGGUUUUUGUGUGCACAUAUGUUUUUAACUCCUUUGGGUAAAUCCCAAGGAGCACAAUUGUUAGAUCAUAUGGUAAGAAUAUAUUUAGCUCUGUAAAAAUCACCAAACUGUCUCUCAAAGUGGCUGCACCAUUUUGAAACCUACCAGCAAUGAAUGAGAUUCUUGUUACCCAAUAUCUUCACCAACAUUGAUAUUGGCCUUCCAGAUUUUGGCCAUUGUAAUAGAUGUGUAGUAUCAUAAUCCACUCUUGAUGAAAAUAUGUGGUCUGAGAUGUGACUGUAUGAACUUAUGGACCAAAUGGCUAGUCAGGGGCAUAGAAGGAGAAAGAGUAGAGAAUGAGACAGUGAAGCCUGGGAAGUGUUCUGUGGAUAGAACUUGUAGAGUGGAAACGUGAAGAUCAUCCUGUCUCCAGCUAACAUCUACGGCAAUGCAUCCAUCAUGGAAAAAAUUACUAAACAACCCAGCAGAAAAAGUAACUCAGCUGGUUGAUCACAGUAUUGCUGGGAUAAAGCUACAUGAGUGGAGUAGUUAUAUUUGGGCUUGCUCUUACAUGAUGGCUUAUCUGGCUAUUACCACUACAACAGUUGUCCAACUUGCAAUGGAAAGAAACGGUGAGCUCCAAUAUAUCACACCAUCCUUCAAGGAUGUAAAUCAUUCACUUGCUGGCAAUUUGGCUAGGUCGAAUUCCUUCCUUCCUAGAAAGUACAUCAAUUCAACUUAACAAAUUUGAUGGGUAUGGUUUGUCACUCCUUGUCUACAGAACCUUAGCAAGCACUACUAUCCAAAAGUCUUACAGAGCAAUGACCAUUAUGAUACUAUGUCUCUCAAAGGCUGAAAAUAAAAAUCUAGGAAUCAAGAGGUUGACGUAAGAGUAGUGCCAUUAUAUAUUGGUCCCAAUGACCCACUUGGGGAAUGUGUGCUUCCCAUCUCUAUUUCUCUAUGUCUGUAGGUCUAAAUGUCCCUAACAAUCCCACUAAUCUUAAAUUAUUGCUAUGAGCACACAAAUGAAUGAGGUAAUUCCUAAAAAGUGGAUUUUCAAGGUGUUCAAAAUAUAAAAAACACUUUGUGUAAUGCUACUUAUCAUUUAGAUAUUUGAUUAAGCAGAAGUAAAAUUUCUAUUUUCACAGUCUGAAGUGAGCAGUGCUAAAAUCUUUUUCAUAGUUAAGUUCAUAUUAUCUGUUAAAAAGAAGAACUUCAUUCACUUAAAUUUAAGUGCUUUAUUUGACUAAAAGUUCACACGAAGAUGAAAAUGACUAAAAGCUGCAUUUGAUGACAUCCUCACAUUUUGUUAAAUAUCUAAGGUAAAAGAUGGAAGACUAGUAUAUAGGCCGAAUUGUGUCCCCACAAAAAGUUCAUGUUGAAGUUCUAACCACCAGUAACUCAGAAGAUGACUUUCUUUGGAGAUAUGGUAUUUAUAGAGGUUUUUAGGUUCAAGCGAGUUCUUUAGGAUGGCUCCCUAAUUCAAAAUGACUGUUGUCCUUACAUGAGAAAAUUUAGACACAAACAUAUAGAGGAGAUGAUGUGAAGACAUGGGAAAAAAAAUCUAUAUGCCAAGAAGGGAAGCCUGGACUAUAUCAUUCCUCUGUGGCCCUCAGAUGGAACCAGCACUGCUGACACUGUUCAUGGACUUCUAGCCUCCAGAACCAUGAGGCAAAUCUCUGUGUAAAACGCCCAUUCUUGGGUACUUAGUUAUGGCAGUUCUUGCAAACUUAGACAAUUAGGCAGGCACUUCAUCUACUGGGCUUGCUCUUUCCUGCUUUUCUGAUAAGAACCAUUUUCCCAGCUGCCUUGUGAAGGGAACUAGGGUCAUUUGAUUCCUAUUAGCUUUCCAUUAAGGAAUUAAAACUGGGACUCGCUUUUUGAUCAUACACACAAUGAAGAACUCUCUGUGGAUGAUCAGAAUUAAAUGGUGGACCAAGCAGAAAAACAAAGAAGAAAAAAAUAUUUCCUUAGCAGAGAAAAACACUGUCUUUUGUCAAGUGACAGCUAGAUCCAUUAAUAUCUUGAUAUAUUUAUGUUGCGCUGAUGUUUAUACAACAUUAGGUUGAUCUAUUUUUAAUAUAAAAUUCUGCUUUAAAAGGGGUUUUCCUUUAGUAUUGCUUAUUUACCUAAUCUUAGGUACUUGGUUGAAACUUCAGUCAAGCAACAUAAUCACAGAAUGUAUAAAGGAUGCAAUCAGUUGUUUUGUUUAUUGUGUUGUGUUUUGUUUCCUUCCAAUUUAUCUUUGUCCUCUUAGGAGGCAGGUGGGAAAACAAAAAGAUUUAUCUGCCCCAUAUGUUGAACUACUCUGGUCACUUUGCUGACAGUUUAGACACAUGAAGCAUAUGUCAUUAUUACCAUUUUUAAAAAUGUGAGAACGGAAGUUCAGAGAUAUUUGAGAUUUUCCAGUGGCCUGUAGGUAGUAAAUGGGAGAGACCACUGGAUUGCAGAUCAUGGUCUCCUUCCUCUCUGCUCCCAGUGGAAAGUAAAUUCUGUUGCCUCUGUUUUAAGAGCAGGAGGGCUUCAAGCUCUAACACUAACCAAAAUUAAUUUCUUUCUUUUUUAAGGAUUUCAUUUUUUUGAUUUUGAAUUUUAUUGAAGUGUAGUUGAUUUACAAUGUUAUAUUAGUUUCAGGCAUAGAGCAAAGUGAAUCAGUUUUACGUAUACAUAUAUCCAUUCUUUUUCCCCAUAUAGGUUAUUACAGAAUAUUCAGUAGAUUUUCUUGUGUGAUACAGUGGUCCUUGUUGGUUACCUAUUUUAUAUAUAAUAGUGUGUAUUAGUUAAUCCCAAUCUCCUAAUUUAUCCCUCUCCUGUCACGAUUUCCCCUUUGGCCACCAUAAGUUUGAUUUCAAAAUCUGUGAGUUUCAAAGUUAUUAUCUUUACUCAGGCAAACCAGCAAAUAAAUUACCUUUUACAUUGUGAGGGAGACAUUUUUCUGCAACUUUUUGCUUCCUUCUCAAGCAAAGGAAAAAACAUAAAGGUGUUAACUAACAAAAUAAAAGUAUCACUAUUUUCUGUUUUGAGAUGGGUUCUUUUCCUUUUCAUCAUCAACUGACAGACUUUUUUUUUUUCUUACAGAUGUGAGCAAUCCAAUUUUGUGUUUUUCUUUUCCAAUUAAUAUUGUACAAUCAAUGCUUAUUCUUUUUUUCACUUGUUCACCUCUUUUGAGAACUUCCUAUAGGCCAGCCUCUGUUAGUUCUUCAAAUGCAGAGGGACAGUAAACAUACUCUUUGUCCUUACAGAUCUCACAUUCUAUGGGGCAAAGAGAUAUGAAGGCCAAACAUGACAAUAUGGGAAUACAAUUGUUACAAGUGAUACCUGUGUUGGCUUAAGUCAAGAAUAAUUGGGACAUAAUGAAGGAAUAUUUCCUUGACAAAAUAGGAGGAAGGAUAGAACAGCCAUUAUAAAUGGCUGAGGGGAGGGGAUGACAGAUGGCACAAUUAGAGGGAAAAACAAAGAUUAGAUCAUUGAAUUGAACAUCAGAGGAUUGGGAUUUAAGCAAUAAGCAAGAAUUUUAACCUCUAUUGUUUGCUUAAUAUAUCCAUAAUGGGCAGUCAUUGAAAGUAGCUGUCUUUCCACACUGCCCUGUUCUGACAUCUAUUUUGACAUUACCACCACAGAGGGCAACAGAAUAAUUUAGUAGAUGUAUAGGAAUUUGAUGAUCUUGUUUUUAGAGCAACUUUGGAUUAAUGUCUGACCACAAGCCAGCAUAUGUUAACCUAAAGUAGUUACAAGGAAUCUAGGAUAAUUUACUACCUCUUAAAGUUUUCUAGGGGAAGUUAAUUAGAUUACUCUUUCCUUGUCAUUCUGUCUCGUAGAUUCUGUCCUAUUCAGGUAAUUUGAAUCUGCAUUUAUCUGGCUCUAAAAAUCUGAGGGCUUUAUUAAGCAGCAAUAUUAUUAUAUUGCUGUGAUUCUGACAUAGUUUCUGAUAUUAUAUAGUUCUGCAGGAUUACUCUUUUUUGGCAUCUCCAUUCACAAAGUAUGUAUUUUCAUCACCGCAGUGCUUGACAAAUGACCUCCCUGGGGCUUGUGUACAGUUUCGACUGGGCAUCAGAAUCACCUGGCAUUGCUUAAAAGCCCUGACGCUCAAGCCAAAAUCCAUGAUAAAUUAAAUCUGAAUAUCUGAUAUCUGGAGAUGGGACCAAGGUGUGUGUGUAUGUGUGUGUGAUUUUUCAGGUUGUUUUAAUGGACAGUUAAGGUUAAGAAAACUGUGUGGUCAUCAGCAUGAAUCAUUUAUAUUGUUUUAAACUCACACACAAGAUAUUCACUGUGUAUCUGCUACGUACCUGCGAGCAGAGUGUUAAACAAUGACUAGACCAACAAAAGGGAUCAGGAAGAGUCACUGUUCCUGAAGAGGUGACAUAUUGGAUUGAGGCUAAGGUAAAGCAUCUGUGAAAAUGUUAAUCAAAAAUCAAGAGAUCAGGCGUUCCCACUGUGACUCGGUGGCUUAAGAAUGCAACUAGUGUCAGUGAGGAUGUGGGUUCAAUCCUGGCCUCAUUCAGUGGGUUAAGAAUCUGGCAUUGCCAUGAACUGUGGUGUCGGUUGUAGACACGGCUCAGCUCUGGCAUUGCAGUGGCUGUGGCUUAGACCGGCAGCUGCAGCUCUGAGUCAGCCCCUAGCCUGGGAACUUCCAUCUGCAGCAGGUACGGCCCUAAAAAGAAAAAAAAAAUCAAGAGGUCAGAGCUACUGCCAUUGCACAGUGGGUUAAGAAUCUGACUGCAGCAGCUUGGGUCACUGAGGAAGCGGGUUCAAUCUCUACCCCAGCACAGUGGGUUAAAGGAUACAGCAUUGCCGCAGCUACAGCAUAGGUCAUAGCUGUGGCUCUGAUUCAAUCCCUGGCCCAGGAACUUCCAUAUGUCAUGGGUGCAGCCAUAGAAUUAAUUUUUAAGAAAUCAAGAGAUCACAGUAAUAAGUUGCCAUAUAGAUAGAUAAAUAGUUAGAUAGAAUCCCCUUUUUUAAUGGAAAAGCAGUUACCAUACAUUUAAGUUUGUCCAGAGAUAAUAAUGGCUUACGCCUGUUUCUUUGGAGUAAUUACUUAUAACACCACAUGCAUUCUCAAGUGUCUCAUUUUAGCUACUAAAUUAUGUCACCCUAAAUAUUAAGCGAUGAAGCAAUGGAGAGUCAAAGAAUGGACCUGUAGAAGAGGCAGUCAUGAUGGGCAGAUAUAGAAGAACUGGCCAGGAGAGAAAGAAAAAAAGAUAGAGGGAGGAGUUCCCAUUGUGGCUCAGUGGGAACGAAUCUGACUAGCAUCCAUGAGAAUGCAAGUUUGAGCCCUGGCCUCACUCAAUGGGUUAAAGAUCUGGCAUAGCCGUGAGCUAUGGUAUAAGUCACAGAUGCAGUUCAGAUCCCACAUUGCUAUGGCUGUGCUGUAGGCCAGCAGCUACAGCUCUGAUUGGACCUCCAUCCUGGGAAACUCCAUAUGCUGCAGGUGUGGCCCUAAAAAG
rnacentral:lncRNA from 1 species